rnacentral:rRNA from 1 species
UACGUAGGUGGCAAGCGUUGUCCGGAUUUACUGGGCGUAAAGAGCGCGCAGGCGGUCGUUCAAGUCGCGUGUGAAGGCCCCCGGCUCAACUGGGGAGGGUCACGCGAUACUGAUCGACUCGAAGGCAGGAGAGGGAAGUGGAAUUCCCGGUGUAGUGGUGAAAUGCGUAGAUAUCGGGAGGAACACCAGUGGCGAAGGCGACUUCCUGGCCUGUUCUUGACGCUGAGGCGCGAAAGCUAGGGUAGCAAACGGG